AGUUUGUAUCCUGGCUCAGGAUAAAACGCUGCGGCGCACAUAAGACAUGCAAGUCGAACGAACUUAAUUCGAAUGUUUUACAUUUGGUAAAGCGGUUAGUGGCGGACUGGUGAGUAACACGUAAGCAACCUGCCUAUUAGAGGGGAAUAACAGUGAGAAAUCAUUGCUAAUACCGCAUAUGCCAUAGAUACCACAUGGUAUCAGUGGGAAAGGAGCAAUCCGCUAAUAGAUGGGCUUGCGUCUGAUUAGAUAGUUGGUGGGGUAAAGGCCUACCAAGUCGACGAUCAGUAGCCGAACUGAGAGGUUGAACGGCCACAUUGGGACUGAGAUACGGCCCAGACUCCUACGGGAGGCAGCAGUCGGGAAUAUUGCACAAUGGAGGAAACUCUGAUGCAGUGACGCCGCGUGCAGGAAGAAGGUUUUCGGAUUGUAAACUGCUUUAGGCAGGGAAGAAACAAGACAGUACCUGUAGAAUAAGCUCCGGCUAACUACGUG
rnacentral:rRNA from 1 species